GGCAACCUGGCGAGUGGUGGGGCGCUUCUUCGUGGUGUUCUGUGUGGCUCACGCUCCGACCGGGGAGGCCGGGACCGUCCUGGCUGCGGCGAUCUCUGCGGCGGUGGCGACGGCUGAGGCUCUCGGGAGAGCGAUCGACCGAGUCGGGUCUGAAGGAGGGGCUUCUGGUCAGCUCAGGCAGCUGGAAAGGUGAGCACCCGAGAAGCAAGAAUACACGCUGUACAGGGGGAACUUUACAGUGGGAACUUUCAUCGGUUUUGUUAAAGGGUCUAUCAUAAUGAAUGGAUCCAGUGUGGCAAAUACAUCCCCCAGCGUAAACUCCAAAGAGGACCAGGGGUUAAAUGGGCAUGAUGAGAAGGAAAACCCAUUUGCAGAGUACAUGUGGAUGGAGAAUGAAGAGGAUUUUAACAGACAGGUGGAGGAGGAGCUGCUGGAGCAGGACUUCUUGGACCGGUGCUUCCAGGAGAUGCUGGACGAGGAAGACCAAGACUGGUUUAUUCCAUCGCGAGACUUGCCUCAGGCCAUGGGACAGUUGCAACAACAGUUAAAUGGACUAUCUGUCAGCAAUGGUCAUGAUUCUGAAGAUAUUUUGAGCAAAAGUAACCUGAACCCGGAUGCCAAGGAAUUUAUUCCAGGAGUGAAGUACUGAGCUGACAGAGAAACUCUGAGGAGGACUUGUAUAUCCCCACAUCUGGGGACAGUGCUGCACAAAAAGGCAGAGCUGAAGGGGGUGGGUGGGCUAGGGGUGCACAGUGGGGGAGGGGAAUAGUAGUUUAAUUUAACACUGUGACUGGAGUAGCUAAAUUGCUCAGUCUUACUCUACAAGCCUUUGAGUAUUUCUCUUUUGUUCUACUGGCUUUCAUUUUGAGCAGAUUAUUAUUAUUAUUAUUAUUAUUAUCAUUAUUAUUAUUAGGUUUUUGCCUUUUUGAGUUAAGGAAAUUAUUGCAAUUUUUCUCACCUUCAUCAGGAAUGUACUACUAUGUGUAUUUAAACAGAAUAAGCUGACCAAGAAAAUCUGGGUGUUUACAAACGCCCUCUCACCCUGCUGUAUGCUUGCAAGGGCAGUGAGCACCUAGAGAACUACUGAGUCUGUUAAGCUGGAUGGGAAGAGGGAUGAGUGGAAGAAGCAGGUGUUUUAAGUGACCCAUGAGCGCUUUCUGCAAGGAACUGGGAUUACCAGUUGUCUGCCGAGCCCAUGUCUUCCUGCCUUGAACCUACAUUCAAAAAAACACGGACUUGAAGUAUUGGUUUACAGUAACUCUUUUUAUGGUUGAAGAAAGUUGUGAAUUCAAGGGGAAACUGUGAUUGUUCUUGCCACUCGAGUCAUACAGUUAUGGGCGGCCUACUCUUAAGCCUCUGUUUACAGCUACCAUCAGACUCAUCAUUUACAAGCUAUAAUUGGUGACCAGGAACAGUAGGAGACUUACUGAAGGCAACAUUCAGGUUUUUUGCUUGACCUUCUACAACACACACACACCGCUAUUCCCAAUCUAGUGUUUAUGGGAGUCCCAGGAACAGGACAGCCAAGUUCACUGAAUUCCACAAGAUGUCAGCCAAGAGUCACCACCCCACCCCAGGGGAUGAGAAAGAAAUCUGCAGAGGGACAGAGGCACCAUCUUUAUUCCAAAAGAAAAAGCCCCCUUACGUUUUGUUAUUACGAGGAAGCUUAUUUCUGGGACUACUUCUUACAGGUGGCCUUUUACUUUUAGUAAUGCAGACACAUCCUAGGCAAUUCACCAUAAAAUGGACAGUGUUUUCACUCUGAACUCAACACUAAGUGAUCAUCCUGCCCUGUGGAUCGUGAACCUCAGGAAUGUUUAGUGCUUGGUGGGUGGUUCGGGAGGCAGGGUAAUUAAAAAAAAAAAAAAAUUAUGGAGGCAUAUUUUACAUAUAAUAAAUGCACCCAUUUCAAGUGUUAAAUUCAGUGAUUUUAGUGACUUUCCUGAGUGGCACAGUCAUAACUGUCACUGUUUUAGAACAUUUUCAUCCACCCCAGUAAGAUCCUUUAUUUAUUGCACAGUAAUCCCUGCUCCCAGCUUUCCAUCACUUGCCUCUUCUGGACAUCGGAUCAGUGGAAUCAUACAAAACCUGACCUCUUGCUUCUGGCUUUUUCCACUCGGCAUACGUUGCGGUGUGUCCACGGUGUUUAACUUGCGUUGGUCGUGUCUCUUUUCGUUGCCAUAGCAUUCCAUUGGUAGCUGUCCCGCAUCCUGUCACCAAGGAGUCCUUGAAACUUGGGUUUCAACCUGCCGUGGCCUAAAGGAGCCCUUAGGACACAGGACUCCUUCCCCCACGUCCAAGGAACCGCUUAUGAGAACUAGCUCUGUUAUCAGAAGCUCCGAGACCUUGGGAGCCUGAGCUGCUGCAGAAAUUUUUAUAGACUUGCAACUUUUUUAUAAGGAACUCUUUUGCUAUCUACCUGUCUGUACUUUUGAAGCAUUUGGUAAUUCACUUACUCUAAAGUAUGAGUAUGUGUUGGAGUGGACAAGUGAACCAGCAAUAAUACUGUGUUGGAGAUUUUUCUUUCCUCCCCAGCGGGAUGGGGGAGUCUCUGAAAUUUCUAAAUACAGUAGUAUCAUCUCCAUGACAAGGUGGGACCUUUGUUGAAGAUCAUGCUGCCUUUGUUGGACAGAUGUUGAGGAGGACCGCGUGCAGAGGAGAAAGGAAGUGCAGCUUGUGAAACAAGAAGCCCGGAGCCCGGUGCACGCCCACCUCUGGUGUGGGAGGUGAAGCGCUGAUGGUGUCCACCUGCAGCUUAGCCCCUCCAGCAGGCCCGGGUCUUGUCUUUGGACUUUUAUCCCUGUUUCACAGUGUUUAAAAGUUGUUUUUGUCCCACACACUCCAAUAAACAUUACAUGAUAGUUAUUAAUAAUACUUCUUUGGGGGAGGAGCAGGGCUUUAAAAUUAAAAUAAUUUUUAUAAAAAUGUAAAAAAAUUGAAAAGUUACUUUAAAAAUUUUGCUAUACAAACCAAAUGGCAGCUGUUGAAAAUAUUAAUAAAAUGAGAAUAAAAUGCA